CCGAUGCUUCGUAUGUAUGGCUGCUGCAUUCAUGCUAAGAUGAGAGGUAGAGAGAUGAUUCUCCUCUAACUGACUGGAACAGUGGGACGUCUUCAGAUCUGCCUCCUGAUAACACACUGUUACACCCAUCACCAUGUUUCUCUACCCAGUGUUUCUCCUCUCUGCACUUGUUGCUGAGUAUUAGUCUGACAUUACAUACUUUUAACUGUCAAGUGUCAUUUGAAAAUAGCACUUCCUAGAAGAAAUGUAAAUGACUGAUUCUGACUUUUCACUUUUUCACACAGAAUAUGUAAUCAUUUCCCAUGAAGAGAUAAUGUUUAUCUAAACAUAACUUCAUUACAGGUGGCAGUUAUGAGAAUGACAUAAAACCAACUUCAGAGACAGAACAUGGCAUGGAGCGAAGCAGUGUUAAUCUGUCUCUCAACUACUCUGGCUCAGUAGACUAUCUUCAAUGGUAUCGUCAAUAUCCCAGAUCAGCACCCUAAUUCCUGCACAAAUAUUGCUGUGCUGUGUGUUAUCAUUUUAACAGCACCCUAAUUCCUACACAAAUAUUGCUGUGCUGUGUGUUAUCAUUUUAACUUCCAGUUGAAGCUACUACACUAAACUACAGUCUCCUCAAAGCCCUCUGUAUUUAGAGCUAAACCUGAAGACCAUCGACUGUCUGUUAAUCUGAAUAAAGAGGGGACCCAUGUGGACCUGGAGAUCUCCUCUGCUGAAGUGACAGACGCCCUACAGCCCAGAGUGACAGGAAUCUGAGAAACACUGUAUACAAACCUUUCAUAUGUGAUUCAUACAACAUGCAAGAGAUGCAGUAUCACAAAAGAGAGGACAAAUGAGAGGAGAGGAGAGAUUGAGAAGCUUUAUUGCAACUGUACAUUGGGGCGGAGCUUGUAUGUAAACUAAGCAGAAAUGAUCAACUGACAACCUUGCAGAUGAAGUCCGGGUUAUGUUGUGCUAUUAGUCAGUUUGACUUCCAACCCCAGCCAUGUUGUUCAUCUGGUCACUUAUUAUGUUCUCAGUAAUAGAUGACACCUAUGAGCAGACUAUCGAGCCAAACCAACAUGAAGUGUAUGCAGAAGUGGGUAGUAAUGUUCUUGUUUCCUGCAACUACUCCUCAGCAAACAUUCUACUAUGGUAUAAACAGUCUCCAGGAUCAGCUCCCCAAUACCUUCUGCUCAUCCCACACUACAGUGGGAUUGGACAGGGAGCUGAUUCUCUUGACUCUCGCUUCUCUGGUAAACUGAACGAAGAGAAGACCCGUGUGGAUCUGGAGAUCUCUUCUGCUGAAGUGACAGACUCUGCUCUGUACUACUGUGCUCUGAGGCCCACAGUGACAGGAAACCUCAGAAACACAAUACAAAAACUCAUCCUCACGAUACAAACACAGACAACCUGAAUCUGAGAACCCUAGAACCUGAGUCUGAAUAGGUCUUAAUAACUUCCAUCCAUUAUAUUCCCUUCUUUUAAUAGGAAAGUAAUUUGCACGUUCAACUGCCAGUGACCAGACUUUACAUUCAGAAAUUAAUUGAAUAUGUAAUGAAAAUCAGAAUAUUUUCAAAUGACUAAACAUUCUAAAAUUCUCUCAUAUAAAUACCAUUUAUUCCAUCUUUAUAGUGAUUUAUUAAACCAAACCUUCCUCACCAUUAAGAGCCAUCAUUGAAUGGGUUUUAUGU